rnacentral:rRNA from 1 species
AGGAUAAACGCUGGCGGCGUGCAUUAGACAUGCAAGUCGAACGGACUUUUCAGGGCUUGCUCUGAAAAGUUAGUGGCGGACGGCUGAGUAACGCGUAGGUGACCUACCCCGAAGUGGGGAAUAACUGCCCGAAAGGGUGGCUAAUACCGCAUGUGAUCGUUUGUUCAUUCGAACGAUCAAAGCAGCAAUGCGCUUCGGGAGGGGCCUGCGUCCGAUUAGCUCGUUGGUGGGGUAAUGGCUCACCAAGGCGACGAUCGGUAGGUGGUCUGAGAGGACGAUCACCCAGACUGGGACUGAGACACGGCCCAGACUCCUACGGGAGGCAGCAGUCGGGAAUUUUGCUCAAUGGGCGCAAGCCUGAAGCAGCAACGCCGCGUGAGGGAUGAAGGCCUUCGGGUUGUAAACCUCUUUUAUCAGGGAAGAUUAUGACGGUACCUGAUGAAUAAGCCACGGCUAACUACGUGCCAGCAGCCGC